UAAAAUGGCUUCAGCAAGAAUAAAAGAUGGA
rnacentral:piRNA from 1 species